rnacentral:misc_RNA from 1 species
GAAGAAGAAGAAGAAGAAGAAAUAUGGUUUUUGGGGUUUGUAGUUUUUGCAGGUUUUAAUGGUAUGCAGCUGCCAAUUAGCAGGUAAGCUGAUUAGUCUUUUUCAGGAGUGAUGAGGGGUAUCGAGUUUUUUCAUCUAUUAAUUCUGAAGAGAUCAAUUAUUUUUAUGGCUAAAGAGAGGUUAUCUCUUAUUGUGUAACUCAUUAACCAUAGGUAGUUGAGGAGUAGUAAUGGCUGAAGCAGAGAGCUUGGUGUCUACUAAUUGUUCCAAAAUAUGAAUAUUAAUGGACAGAUAAAAUGUGAUUCUCUCCUGCUUUCCCAACUUUUAUAUAAAUAGAGAAACUACUAUAAUUAUGUUUGAUUUGA